rnacentral:rRNA from 1 species
UACGUAGGGGGCGAGCGUUGUCCGGAUUCAUUGGGCGUAAAGCGCGCGCAGGCGGCUGGGCAAGUCGGCCGUGAAAUCUCCGGGCUUAACUCGGAGGGGUCGGGCGAGACUGCACAGCUCGAGGCGGGUAGAGGGCAGUGGAAUUCCGGGUGUAGCGGUGAAAUGCGUAGAUAUCGAGAGGAACACCUGCGGCGAAGGCGGGUUGCUGGGCUGACACUGACGCUGAUGCGCGAAAGCCAGGGGAGCGAACGGG